CCUACGGGGGGCAGCAGUGAGGAAUAUUGGUCAAUGGGCGGGAGCCUGAACCAGCCAAGCCGCGUGAGGGAAGAAGGUCCAGCGUAUCGUAACCCUCUUUUGUCAGGGAACAAAGGCGGGGACUAGUCCCCGGAUGAGGGUACCUGAAGAAAACGCAUCGGCUAACUCCGUGCCAGCAGCCGCGGUAAUACGGAGGGUGCGAGCGUUAUCCGGAUUUAUUGGGUUUAAAGGGUGCGCAGGCGGCCUGUUAAGUCAGCGGUAAAAGCCCGGGGCUCAACCCCGGCGAGCCGUUGGACCUGGCGGGCUUGAGUUGGGGAGAAGGACGCGGAAUGCGCGGGGGAGCGGGUAAAUGCUUAGAUAUCACGAAGAACUCCGAUUGCGAAGGCAGCCUACUAAACUGCCACUGACAUUGAUGCUCGAAAGUGUGGGUAUCAAACAGGAUUAGAUACCCCUGGUAGUC
rnacentral:rRNA from 1 species